rnacentral:lncRNA from 1 species
AACAGCUGACAUGGCGAUGGUUAUCGUGGAGAGUGAAGCCUCGAGCAGAAUUAUUGUACGAGUGCACAUUUCUUUAUGUUUGAGUGUGUGGAUGAAUGCGCCUUUUGAUAGGCUUUAAGUUAAUUUUUAUUACAUGUAGACGGUUGAUGUGCUGGUCAUGUGAACAUUUACGAAAGAAAAAACAUUAAUAUUCAAUACGUACGAUUCAUGCUAGCAGCCAGAUCCGUGCAGAAGCAAGCCAAACAUUUUUAAUAACAACACUGCAUUUAUCAUCCCUUUUUAUGCAUAUUUUUCAUCCGAUCAUUUGUUUGUUUGUCUUUUUCUGAAUUUUUCCUUUUUUAUCCUUGAGUUUUUUCCCGUCAUUCUCAUUGUCUCCCUGAACAACCUGUUUUUGUCAUCGCUGGGUGCAGGGAACAUUGUGGAGACACGGAGAGAAUAGCUCUCUAAAGAAGAGUCUGUGCUUGAAUGGUGUAUUGAAGGAGGAGAAAAGUUCCCACAAGCCCCAGUGCUCAGCACUCUGUUUUCAAAGGACAGCUUUGAGAGAAACCAGGAAUCUCCGUACAAGACAAGCACGAGUGUGCGUUUCAAUCAGUGCCCCUAUAUAUAUAUAUAUCUCACAUCUCUACUCCUCCACAGGGGUUUGUGUUCUGUCUCUUGCUGUCUUUAU